rnacentral:rRNA from 1 species
AGAUUCCGGAGAGGGAGCCUGAGAAAUGGCUACCACAUCUAAGGAAGGCAGCGGGCGCGCAAAUUACCCAAUCCUGACACAGGGAGGUAGUGACAAGAAAUAACAAUACGGGGCUUCAAGUCUUGCAAUUGGAAUGAGUAGUUUUUAAACCUCGCUACGAGUAUCAAUUGGAGGUCAAGUCUGGUGCCAGCAGCCGCGGUAAUUCCAGCUCCAAUAGCGUAUAUUAAAGUUGUUGCAGUUAAAAAGCUCGUAGUUGGAUGUCUGCUCGGUUAUGCCGGUCGGCACUCAGUGUCUGUACUCGGUUAUUUCCGGGCAUUUACUAGGGAACACGACUGCACUUGACGGUGUGGCGUGCUACUUAGUUCCGUUACUUUGAGAAAAUUAGAGUGUUUCAAGCAGGCCUAUGCCUU